GCCGCUAAUGCGGUGUGGUCAGGCGAGCACUGCGAGCACGGUCUUUUGCCUCACUUGGAGGCCGCUGCGGCCGAGGUGCGUUUCACUGCGUCGGAAAGAAUGGCUGCCUGCCGCCGCGGCUCGGGCCCACCUCGUCGCACUGGUGUGGCACUGCUCCGUGGACGCGUCCUGGCGGCAUGGACGCUGUCCGUGCCUUGAGAUGGGCCAUGUCGGCUUCAAAGGCGCGCUGGCGGUGGCGCUGGUAUUCGCAGUGGGACAGCUCGUGGGGCACGAAGAGCAGUGUGGCGGCCAAAAUAGAGGCUUCACCAUGAGGGAGAAUCGAAAAGGGUCGUCCGCGACACACGAAGACCCUGUUCGAGGCCGUGCCGCAGGGCCAAAGCGACAGGCAGAGGGAGUUGGAGGAAGCCUUGCACAUUGCUUUCAAGCCCAGGCACAAGUGCAUUUUCGUCAUCUACUUGACGUUCCCGGGAGCGCCAUUAGCCAGAUUGGUGGAGGCGUCCGUCCUUCCCGUUGUAAUCUGCCAACGGGAACCGGAGAGGGCCCCAGUGAUUGCGGCUCUGCGGAUCUGAAAUGCGGUGGCAUCCUCGUUCUGGCCGAGGCCUACCAGGAGGCGGCCGAGGCUGCCGCCGUGGUUGGCGGCCAGAUUACGUCAUCACGCGGCAGGCACGCGGGGCUUACCUCGUCACAGAGCGUGUUGCUCGUGACGGGGAGCGUGACGGGGACCACGGACGACGCAGCCCUGUCGCCCAGUAAUGGGA